rnacentral:lncRNA from 1 species
UUUCAUUCAAUCUUGUUUUACUCUAAGACGUUAUCAGCACUUUGCCCUAACCUAGAGCGAUUAGGCACCAGGAACGAGAAGAAAGGAGGCCAUCCCUUGACUCGACGGAGACGGCCACCGGCCGGUGCGUAACAUGGCCAUCCCGCCCACGAGCAUCAAGGCGUGGCCUCGAUGAGUAGCACAAGUGUGUCGUCUGUGGCCUUUGCGCUGGAUGGAGAUGGCGGGCAAGGCUUGGUGCCCCAGCAUGCGCGGAGGCGUUGCGUUGAAUCCCGCUGGCACACGCACUCCGUGGACCUCGACUGUGCCCCAGCGGCGCCACCCCCGUAGAGUGGCAGCGCCCUCAAGCGCGCACCCGGCAAGCGCGGCGCACCAGCGUCCUCUCGCACUCCCGGCAGCAUGGACUCGUACAACAGGGCCCUCCCGUCGGCAGCGGACAGCGCCGCCGUGGCCAGGCGGCCCUCGCUUUCGCUGACCAUCCUUGACGGAUGUGUGGUGCUAAGCAUCCGGUGAGUGUGGCCAUCCAGCGGGAGAUUUCAAUUCUUGAUCUAAUUGCUACAUACAAUAAUCGGAGUCAACAAGCAACCCAAGCAAAUAUUAAAGUCUUGAUCUAAUUGCUACAUAAAAGAAUCAAGCGAUUGCUUCUUUUUAUUUUUCUUCACGCACGCAGCAGUGGGGAAACAAACAACAGCAUCUUCCUUGGCAACGCCCGCGAUGAGGCGGUAGUGAUGCCGGAAUUGCUCCAGGCCUGCGCCCCGCACGGUCCGCCUGGCCGCGCUCCGCUCGGGCACCCAUCGCCGGGUCCCUGCGCCAGGCCGUGGUUGUCCUCACCCGCGCCCUGGCCAGCAGCACGCCCUUACGCGUGACCGACCUGCGCCAGGACUCGCCCGGCCGUGCCGCGCCCGCCGCCGGAUCCCUCACGCACCGACGUCCCUGCCACCGGGUCCCCUUCCCCGAAGAGGCCCCUACCACGCGCGGCGCUCGCGCCCAUGGUACACAGCGGCGUGGCGAGCUCCUCCCAGCGGCUGCAUAGACAAAUUCCCCAUGGUGAAUUUGGGGUAUGUAACCGCACGGGAGUGGAGAAGAGAGAUAGAAAUCUUAUCUCUUCGCAAGUUUUACAGUUUAGCCCUUGCGGCUUUACCUAUUUUUAAAUAGGCCAAAACUUGUUUUAAUUGUGAUUUUGCAGUUGUUCUAGUAGUGAUUUCACCCUGUUUUAGACCUGUUAAAUACAAUACUGAUUUGCGA